rnacentral:rRNA from 1 species
GACGAACGCUGGCGGCGUGCUUAACACAUGCAAGUCGAACGGAAAGGCCCUGCUUUUGUGGGGUGCUCGAGGGGCGAACGGGUGAGUAACACGUGAGUAACCUGCCCUUGACUUUGGGAUAACUUCAGGAAACUGGGGCUAAUACCUGAUAGGAGCUCCUGCUGCAUGGUGGGGGUUGGAAAGUUUAGGCGGUUGGGGCUGGACUCGCGGCUUAUCAGCUUGUUGGGGGGGUAGUGGCUUACCAGGGCUUUGGCGGGUCGCCGGCCUGGGAGGGUGGCCAGCGUCAUGGGUCCUGCGAGACGGCGCAGACUCCUACGGUAGGCAGCAGUGGGGAAUAUUGCACAAUGGGCGGACGCCUGAUGCAGCGACCCCGCGUGCGGGAUGCCGGCCUUCGGGUUGUAAACCGCUUUAGCCUGUGACGAAGCGUGAGUGACGGUAAUGGGUAAAGAAGCACCGGCUAACUACGUG